AGAGAGCAAGUUUAUUUUGGAAUGGAAGGAUUUUGAAAGAAGGAAGCAGGAUUGACCGGACGCUUGUAUUAUUAAAUCAGAAAGAUUUUCUUGUGUCGGUCAAGUUCACGUCAUGUUGAACGAAUUGAGUUGAAGAAAAAUAAGUUUGAGGAAGAUUGUUCUUCUGUAGACUUAAUUCUCACCACCACUUCGUGUGCUUCAUGUCUUUUAUUGUUCAUAUUUUUUUUUCUUUUAUUGCGAAAUUUUAAUGCUCUAUAAAUAUAUAUAUAUUUUUUUUGAUAGUGGAUUAAAAAAGUGGUAUAAUUGAAAUGAAUUCAAAAUUUUCAAUAAAAGUUUUCAAAGUGACAUCGUUA